rnacentral:lncRNA from 1 species
GGAGACAGAGGGAGUCUGGCGCCCCCUGCUGCUGGGAGACGCCUUAUAUACCAGCUCCGAGGAGAGCGGGGAGGGCACAUGACCGCUUCCUUGUUGUUAUUUGACCUUGUGCUACACCGCAAGACUCUCACCAACCUUUAUUUACUUCCUUUUUCAGAUCUCUUUGUCAUCUACACAUUUUCAGUGUUGCUGUUUCCUCAAAGUAUCGCCUAGUAUAAGCAAAAACUUCCGGGGCAGCAGUCUGAGAGCCAAGGACAGGAGAAAGCUGUCAAAGUAAUGGGCAGCCUUCUCCCUCUCCCCACAGUGCCCAGAUACAGGCCCGUGGGUGUGAGCAGGGUCGGGGCUUCCGAACCCCCAGGGGAAUCAGGAGCCGGGAGCAGGUGGACCUUGGGCUUCUGUGACGUUGGUAAGCGAAGCUGAAGGCACAUCCCUGACCUCAGAGAGAUUGCCUGGGAUGUGACACUGGUGACCAGGGUGUGAACGGGGAAGGACACAUUCCAAGGUCACUGGCGCAGCCGGAUUCCCUCUUCACCCUUACAGAACAGUGGGAUCAGGGGCUGGAAUGUGCACUCGUACCUCUCUGUUCGCAGCAUACCUCUGUGGUUCGCCGGCUGCACACCUAAGGGCUGUUGUAAAAGCCCGGGUCAAUCACUGCAGGAGCCGCCACGUCGGCGCCGCAAUCCUUGUGUUUCUGUGAAGAGGGUGAUUUCAACUGGAUGCAUGCAGAGAAGACCACUGAGCAAUGAAAAAGAGCUGGCAGCAACCCAGAGUCUCUACUUAAUUCAAAAUCUAAAAGAUUCAAUUGUGUGGGAAUGAAAAUGAAGACAAAUGUUAGUGUCUCCUGGUUUAUUUCUAAAUUGGAUGAAAAGGAAAAGGUAAUAUUAGCAAAGGCAUUGAAUGAAAAGAAGUCGGGAAGGCUGUAAACAAGGAAGAUCACUAACAACCUGGUUCGGAAACUGCAUUGGCGGCAACAAAGAAGAGAGGGAGGUCAUGUGCCCUGGGUCGCUUCCCUUCCCUUUCUCAGCUGGUACAUAAGGGGCCCCAGCAGCAGGGGGCGCCAGACUCCCUCUGUCUCCUGAGUCCUCUCUCCGCUCCUCGCCUCGCCUGAGUCCUCUCUACUGACACCAUGGGUUGCUGUGGCUGUGGGGGUUGUGGUGGCUGCAGCGGUGGCUGUGGCGGCUGUGGCAGCUGUGGCGACUGUGGCGGCUGCGGU